rnacentral:rRNA from 1 species
UGCGCAGGCGGGCCAUUAAGUCAGGGGUGAAAGACGGUUGCUCAACAAUCGCAGUGCCUUUGAUACUGGUGGUCUUGGGUGACCUUGAGGUAGGCGGAAUGGGGGGUGUAGCGGUGAAAUGCAUAGAUACCCCCCAGAACUCCGAUUGCGAAGGCAGCCUACUGGAGGUUAACCGACGCUCAGGCACGAAAGCGUGGGAUCAAACAG